rnacentral:rRNA from 1 species
AUGGUCAUAAAAGUUUUGAAGAAAUUUCCGAAGGUUGUCAUUGAGAUCUUUGAAGAGAGAUAUCUCCUUGUACCAAAUGAAGCGGACGCUAUAAGGCUUCUGCAGAUUGGUGCAUCAAAUGGCUUCCCUGGUAUUUGUGGAAGCAUAAAAUGUAUGCAUUGGAGUACCAUCAUGGGUGCCGGCGGCAGAAUGACAAAGAAGGAGCGGGAGAAGCAGGAGCUGCUCGGCCGCGCUGGCGCCUGUGAGAUCUUCCAGCGUGCGCCGACGGAGAAGCCAGCGUUCACGCUGGCCCAGGUCAAGAAAUCAAUCCUGCCUCAUUGCUUCCAGCGCUCGGUGAUCAAGUCCUUCUCCGAUGUGGUCUAUGACCUCGUCAUCAUCGCGUCUCUCUUGUACGCCGCGUUGGUCUGGAUCCUAGCACUCCCAAGCAUGCAACAGCUGGGCACCUGGCCGCUCUACUGGGUCGUGCAGGGCCGCGUCAUGAACAGCAUCUGGGUAAUCGCCCACGAGUGCGGCCACCACGCCUUAUCCGACUACUUGCUGCUCGACAACAUGAAGUGCGAGAAGUGGGCGGAUGUUUGGCACACCGUCACCAAGGGCAAGAAGACGUACAAGCGGGAUGCGCUCAUGCCGGGGGUGGCGGAUGGGCGCCCUGAUGGCAACAAAUGA